rnacentral:lncRNA from 1 species
CGAGGUUGUCGAGCACUUGCUCCUUUUUAUUUCCUCAAAAUAUUUUUAUUUUUGCAUAGCCCAUGCCUCUAAUGCAAUAAUACUUCGUAAGAGUGAAUCUUUCUGAAAUAAUGUCUUGAUCUUAGGAGCAUGAUAAAUCUCUCUACAAGGGUCUAACUCAUUUUGAACAAACUCAAUACAGAGUAGAUAGCUUUUAUAAUCAUAAUUAAUAUUUUCAGUCUUAUCAGGCAUAAAACACUGAGGAUGGUAGCUAGGAUUUAUUUUGAAAUAAAUUCCCCAAGUAGCAAUGAUAUCAAGAAUAAGAAACUCAUACUCUACCAUCACAUAUUCCAUAUUGACUUAAGUGACACAGGGUUUUAAAAUGAUUUUUAAUAAUUGCAAGUUUUUCAGGAAAUAUCACAGAUUGAGAUUAACCAUGAUUAGAAAUAUUUUAAUCUUUUUAUUUUAUCAUAUCAGAGACAAUAAUCUGCAUAAUCCAAAAUAUAUAUAUGUGUAAAGUAAAGUGUGCAGAGUGUGUACCUGAAUCGUGGAGUGGUGUAGUCGGAGUGUGUUUGGCAUGUCGAGGGAUCUCCCCCAUACUUGUUUUCUGCUUUCUUGCACAAAAAUAAAGUAGAGACACACAAGACAUAAUAAUAAUAAUACUCUUUAUUGAUCUUGAAGCAUUUAUUACAAAAGACUGAUAGCAAACUGAUAAUAGUAAACCUAAACCGAAUUUAAAGAUAAAUGACUAAGAUGCAUUGCCUCAAGGUCUAAUCUAGAUAACUUAGCGACGCUCUAAUUCCUUGAUCUUCUUGUUGGCACUGGCAAGAUCUUGCCUAAGGCCUAGUAUAAUGGUGUUGUGGUUAGAGAGCUGCCUAGUGAGGGAGUUGAUCGAGGACUGGAGGUCUAUGAUAACUCUAUCUAGCCUGCGAACUUCCUCAUCAAUAUCCAUUAUAGUCUUGCGACGCUUGGGAGGUGUCUCAAAAGCAUUGAGAGCGUGCUUCGGGGCUGCCUUUGGAGGGAUGAAACAGACU